UGGGGAAUUUUGGACAAUGGGCGCAAGCCUGAUCCAGCAAUGCCGCGUGCAGGAUGAAGGCCUUCGGGUUGUAAACUGCUUUUGUACGGAGCGAAAAGGCUUCCACUAAUACUGGGGGCUCAUGACGGUACCGUAAGAAUAAGCACCGGCUAACUACGUGCCAGCAGCCGCGGUAAUACGUAGGGUGCAAGCGUUAAUCGGAAUUACUGGGCGUAAAGCGUGCGCAGGCGGUCUUGUAAGACAGGUGUGAAAUCCCCGGGCUUAACCUGGGAACUGCACUUGUGACUGCAAGGCUGGAGUACGGGCAGAGGGGGAUGGAAUUCCGCGUGUAGCAGUGAAAUGCGUAGAUAUGCGGAGGAACACCGAUGGCGAAGGCAAUCCCCUGGGCCUGUACUGACGCUCANGGGCCGAAAGCGUGGGGGAGCAAACAGGAUUAGAUACCCUGGUAGUCCACGCCCUAAACGAUGUCAACUGGUUGUUGGGUCUUCACUGACUCAAUAACGAAGCUAACGCGUGAAGUUGACCGCCUGGGGAGUACGGCCGCAAGGUUG
rnacentral:rRNA from 1 species